rnacentral:lncRNA from 1 species
AGCAACUUUAAAAGUUUCCCAGGACAUCAUAAUGCUGUUUAAUAAACAAAUAAACUAUGCCUUAAGAUUGUGACUCUGAACUCAGAACAGUUAAAUGUUUCUGAAUGCGUACAUCUCCAGAUAAGUUUAGGUCCUGUGAGCCCCUCAGUCAAAUAUGGCGAAACAGGACGCAGGUCAAGUACCUUCCUCCUAAUCCAUACUAGGGGACUAGUAUGAGUCAGAGGAUACAAGACCUUUGCAAGGAUCAGGGAAAACUUCACUGAACCAUCUCCAACAGGUCUUUCUGCCUCCCUUGUGAGUUUCUGGAGGUGCUUUGCAGGCACUGGGAACAGCACAGAGCAAAAUAUGGAAAAUGACUGAAAACUGAGUAUGCCUACUGAAGCUGACAGAACAACAUAAUGGCUCAGCAGGGUGGUCCCAGAGAGCUGGCAUCCUCUGUUACACCCCAAAAUAGGUAGAAAUUGCAAGCAGAAACAGGAGGACUGUCAAGAGCAAGCUGCAGUGUCUGCAUCGCCCCAGCACAGUACAUGUUGCAUUCAUGCGCUUUCCCUAAGUAUGGCCUUACCAUAUGUAGAGGACCCUGGAGAAAUGAGCUGAGCAUGGAAACCUCCACGCAUUUGACAACUGGUGUGUUGGACAGUACUGCUGGAGGAACACGGCAUGAGAGAAUAUCUCUGCAAGUUCUGGUGAUGCUUUCAAUGAGAAAGUCCCCAAGCAUGCCCUUCUCCCUGUCAUGUAAUUCUGAAAAAGCAAAACCUUUGCUAAAACUCGCCUUCCUGAAGUUUGAGAGGCAUUUAGUCUUAGCAAGUGCCUAGUCCAGGACCACAAGUGAAGUUCCUCGGGGCAGCUCCUCCCCCUAGCCACCAGCAGCAGGAGCUUGACUGCACGUCUGCUUUGCAGAUAGCCGGGUGUGCUGCUGGAGCAGGGACAGGGAGCGUUCACCUGGCUAGAGAGAGGUGCACGGGAAAUCCUUCCUCUCCCAAUAGCGCCUUUUUGCUACCAUCUAGUGGUCAUCGACAGCUGUGAUAGCACAGAGACUUGCAGAGAGGUGGAUGUUAGCAACAAAGAACAUGGAGAGCUGUCUACAGAAAUUUCCCCAGAAUUUCUUGGAUUUGCCUUUGUUGGUCCCGGGCCCUGAUCCUGCUGCUCUUACUGUUGGUCCACAGUGCAGCACAGGGAGGCCAGGGCAGGGCUGUGGCAUGCCCUCACCUGGGAGCCAGCCUGCCAUGAUACUACAGCUGUAG